GAGGGACUUUUUGCAUUUCAUGGUGUGACGAUUAAUUCCGAUUGCUGACUGGCUUAAGAGAUGAGUGAAGCACACUUCCGGUGUCUGUGGGGGGAUCCAGAGAUGACUGGCUUGUGGGACAGCGAAUUGAGAGGAGACCUGCCCUGACCCAGGAUGACCUCAUCCAAUAAGCCGGAGAGCAGGACAGAACGAAAAGGUGGAUGAAGGAGCAAGCUGGCUUGCAGGGGGACGCCGGAUUCUGUCUCAGUGGGUGCAUCUUUUGCUGCUGCCCGUGGACGUCAGACUCCAGCUUCUUCAGCCUUCAGAGCCACUCACACCAGGCCUCUCCAGGGGCUUCCUGUUUUCAGUCCCGGACUGGGGCUGCAUCCUGAUCCCUCUCGUCCUGGGGCUUCCAGCUUCUUGGACAGAGCGGCCGCUGGACCCUCAGGCUCUCCUGCCUGCAGGUGCUGCCAUGAGCUCUCCCAUCUCCGAUCCUUUCUAAGUUCAGAAACUGAGGCCUCACCGGUCGUGACUGGCCGGAUCUCUCCGACCUUCCUUCCGGGGAUGAAGUGCGAGUGUCCUGGAGGGAAGCUGCCCCACACCACGAAGAGCGCCCCUGCCUCCCUUCUCAGAAAGAAGACCGGAUGCAGAGGGCGGAAGUGACUCCCAGAGGUCAUUCCAGAGAUAUCACACUCACCGAGUUUACAGGCAAAAGAAGAAAAUCCCAAGAAAAGGGUGGCGGGGAGCAAAGCAAAGACAAAAUCCUUCUCCUGACUGCUUGAGCCCUGCCUAUUCCCUGAGGAUUAAACUCUGAACGCGUCCCUCACACGGAAAGGACCACAGCUUCCAGGCAAGGCAUUACACAGUCCUUGGCCUCAAUAAACUUUUCCCACUCAUAACUCUACCUGCUAUCCAGAGGACCCAGACUGACAUCCAAGGCAUUUGCUGGGUAAAUGAAAUAACCGAUUUCCAAGGCUCACCACUUUUAAAGAUGCUUAAAGACAAUUCACGGCAGACAUUAUAUUAUGUGUGAAUGUGAGUCUUGCUCUUCUACCUUCUACCACCGCACAAUGAGGCAGGAAGCUCUCCCCAGAUGCAGCUCCUUGACUUUGGACUUGCCAGACCCCAGAACUCUAAGGAUAAAUCUCUUUUGUAAAUGAAUUACUUAAUCUCAGGUAUUCUGUAUGGCAGCAAACAAAGGACUAAGACACCGUGUGAGACUUGAUUUUCUUCAUAUACUUCAACCAAAAUAACAUCUUGUAACAGACUGAAUGAGAAGCAGAGAGAUGUGAAAAUUCAGCUAUUUUUCUACUGAGCCUGACAUUAAAGAGGUUUUCAAAAUGUAAAAGCAGUGCUGCUGUUUUCACUGA
ensembl:lncRNA